rnacentral:rRNA from 1 species
GUGAGGAAUAUUGCGCAAUGGAGGCAACUCUGACGCAGCCAUGCCGCGUGCAGGAAGAAGGCGCUACGCGUUGUAAACUGCUUUUAACCGGGAAGAAACCCCAGGACGUGUCCUGGGUUGACGGUACCGGAGGAAUAAGCACCGGCUAACUUCGUGCCAGCAGCCGCGGUAAUACGAAGGGUGCAAGCGUUAUCCGGAUUCAUUGGGUUUAAAGGGUGCGUAGGCGGAGCGUUAAGUCAGUGGUGAAAUCCUGCAGCUUAACUGUAGACUUGCCAUUGAUACUUGCGCUCUUGAGUGCGCUUGAAGUGGGCGGAAUGUGCCGUGUAGCGGUGAAAUGCUUAGAUAUGGCACAGAACACCAAUUGCGAAGGCAGCUCACUAAGGCGAUACUGACGCUGAGGCACGAAAGCGUGGGGAUCGAACAGGAUUAGAUACCCGUGUAGUCC